AAAAAAAAAAAAGCUUUAUGGUCCUAUUCUAGGGACGAGUAGAAAAAAGAUACUGUUCAGAGUACCACUUGCAUUGCUCCUUCAACAUUCAUCUGAUAAAUGGUACUACAAGUGAAGUAAAUGAUGCAAGGAUAUGCAAGAAUGGAUGAAAAAUCCACAAUGAGGUCUAAAUCCUAACAUUCACUCCCAAUCAUAGGCAAUUGCAAUUAUAAUCACUAGGAUGACUAUUGAAUAUUGGAAAAAAAAAAAAACUCAAAACCUUUCCAACAAAAGCAAUCAGCAGCAUUAUUUUUCUGAUCAUGAAACAUGCAAUGCACAGUUUGAAGUGGGAGAGCAGUAAAUGAAAUUAAACUAUUUUGAAUAAAUUAAUAAUAAUAAGAACAACCAUUUGUGUUUCUGCGGUAUGAAAAGAAUAACUUCUGUUUAAAUCAAUCCCACUGUAUUGGAGGGCUGCAAACAAACGACACUGUGUAUCUGCCUAAUAAAUAAUCUCAUCACCAUGCAGGACCUGGAACAUUUUUAAAGUUUUGGAAAGACUUUGACUCAUUGCAUUGUCGCCACCUACUUGCAGUUCUGUUCUUCCAAGUACAUAUCAAUUAAUUAAUUAAUUGAUUAAUUAAUUAAUUAAUAUAUACGGCGUAUGAUUUUUAAAUGUAUUUAAUUAUUCUGUGUGCAAAACAACAAAAACAUUCCUAAAAUUUUCUUAUAUGAAAAUUUACACGUGGCGAAGACCGACGGAGCCGUCAAGCACAGUCAGGUGAGAAGCAGAAAUCUUUUGACUAAACGCCACAACGCAAACAAUCAAUCAGCCACGUGUAAAAGAAAACCGCUAACUACCCAAACAAAAUGCGGAAACACCAACACGUACCUGGUGGAACCCUUGUUCUCUGGUGAGCGGCACACCGAUCUCACUG
rnacentral:misc_RNA from 1 species